rnacentral:rRNA from 1 species
UACGUAGGUGACAAGCGUUGUCCGGAUUUACUGGGCGUAAAGAGCGCGCAGGCGGUCGUUCAAGUCGAGUGUGAAAGCCCCCGGCUCAACUGGGGAGGGUCAUUCGAUACUGAUCGACUCGAAGGCAGGAGAGGGUAGUGGAAUUCCCGGUGUAGUGGUGAAAUGCGUAGAUAUCGGGAGGAACACCAGUGGCGAAGGCGGCCAUCUGGGACAACACUGACGCUGAAGCACGAAAGCGUGGGGAGCAAACAGG